UACGUAGGGGGGCGAGCGUUGUCCCGGAUUUAUUGGGCGUAAAGAGCUCGUAGGCGGCUGUUCGAGUCGGGUGUGAAAUCCUGAGGCUUAACCUUGGGUCUGCAUUCGAUACUGGGCGGCUUGAGUCUGGUAGGGGGAUCUGGAAUUCCUGGUGUAGCGGUGGAAUGCGCAGAUAUCAGGAGGAACACCGGUGGCGAAGGCGGUUCUCUGGGCAUUACCUGACGCUGAGGAGCGAAAGUGUGGGGGAGCGAACAGG
rnacentral:rRNA from 1 species